GGGCCCGUAGCUUAGCGUGGUAGAGCGAUCGGCUCUUAACCGAUAGGUCAAGGGUUCGAAUCCCUUCGGGCCCG
rnacentral:tRNA from 1 species